rnacentral:misc_RNA from 1 species
CAACCCUCAAGCCCCUCCGGGUGCUUGGUGUUGGAGACCGGCGAACCCGGCCCCUCCCCCGGGGCCCCGGGCGCCGCCUCCUAAAUCCAGUGGCGGUCUCGCCGCAGCCUUCCCUGCGUAGUAGCAUCUUAUUUCGCAUGGGAGAGCGGCGCGGCCACGCCGUUAAACACCCCACUUCUAAAC